UGAGGGAAUAUUGGGUCAAUGGGCGCAAGCCUGAACCAGCCAAGUAGCGUGAGGGAAGACUGCCCUACGGGUUGUAAACCUCUUUUGUUUGGGAAUAAAGUGCGGGACGUGUCCCGCAUUGCAUGUACCAUUUGAAUAAGGACCGGCUAAUUCCGUGCCAGCAGCCGCGGUAAUACGGAAGGUCCGGGCGUUAUCCGGAUUUAUUGGGUUUAAAGGGAGCGCAGGCGGUCUUAUAAGCGUGACGUGAAAUGCAGCGGCUCAACCGUAUGAUGUGCGUCGCGAACUGUGAGACUUGAGUGUAUUCGAUGUCAGCGGAAUUUGUGGUGUAGCGGUGAAAUGCUUAGAUAUCACGAAGAACU
rnacentral:rRNA from 1 species